AAGCAGGUGUAGCUGUAGAGAAAACUCUGCCCCAUUUUGCAGGGAGAAGAAAAUACCUGAUAAAUGGAAUGAGACUUGGGAAAUGUCUACAAAUCACUGGCCGCUUUCAUUUCUUGAUCCCAUAUCAAAUUUCACCAUCUACCCCUGAUAGCCACCUUUACAGCGACAUUAUUGAGUAUACCAAGAAGAAAUGACUCUUCAGAAGAUGAAUUUGGAUAAAAAACACAUAGAUCUGACCAAUUACCAAAGACAGAAAAUACAUGGUGGUGAUAAUUUUGAAAGAAUGAAGGGAUCAGUUUUCAAGAUGAUUUAUUGAAAGAAAGAUUUUCAAAGAAGAGAAAAAAAGUACUGGCCCCAAAAGUAUUGUCCUCAAAAGAUCAUAUAAGAUUCCUUGAGAAAUGUAACUACAAUCCUCUGAUAAAUAUCAAGAUGGCAAGAAGCAGGUAACAGAUGAAUGCUAUGCUACACCACUCAAAAAACAGCAGUAAUAAUACUCAAGUUUCCUGUGAAGGCUCCAGGAAUUUGUACCUCACUGUGGCAUAGAGAUGACCUUGGCUUCUUGAAGACUACACUAGUGUAUUGCAGAACUUGGUGGUAUCACUGAGCUUCUGUAAAACAGGGACUUUUUGAAUUGCUCUAUGACAAACAGCAGUCAGUCUGCCUGGAGGGAAUUGAUAAGAGACUGAAGACUGACAAAUCCUAGAAAGAAGAGGAUUGACACUCUGCUGACGGGAGAGCAAAGCAGGACAAGGAUGCAAACCAGCCGGUGGCUUUUAAGAGAGCCAGGCUCGGCAGUAUCACGGAGAGAGGAAGAUAAACUCUGUGAGAGAAGGGCAGGACAGUGGUAAAAACUCCAUGGCAAAGGCUCUGAAUGUAACAGAAAAUGGCUGUUGAUGUGACUAAGGCCUUUUAAAGGAAUCCUGUAGAUGAAUGUGACUGUUUUCUCCCCAAGAAGCUGAUGGUGAGAUACUUCAAGUUUUCCUUCUCUUUUUUAUCUCUGCCUACAAAGGAUGAGCAUUUUACUCCUAAAUUAUUGUGCCCUUUAAAUCUGCGAUAAUUUCUGAUGUAUUUCUUAGAAUGUUGCCUUUUUCAUGAAAUCUGCGAUCAAUCAUGACCCAUUUAUGUUACAAUCUGUUCUGUACUAGAAAAGGAGAAUUGAUGGGAGCUGGUAGUGAGUGAAAAAAAAUACAGAGGGUUUAAACAGGACAGAUCUAAAUCUCUGUCUGGACGUUAGGAACUCUUCUAACUGGGGUCUUUACACUGUUAUGAUUUUAUUAAAAUUUUUUUUGUGUUAUAUAAAUUCCUUAACCUAGCAAAGAAACUGAUUCAUAUAGAUCAGGGGCCAUUGUGCCUCUACAAUAAAACAACUCAACUUGAAGCUUGUUGUAGUUAUAUGUGGUUACUUAAAAAGUGAGGUUUCAGGUAAAAUUCCAGAAUAUAAGGGGGCAGGGAGUAGAGAAGGGGAGCAAAAUGAAGACUAUACCUCAUUACCUUAGCCAAGCAGUUUUUCAUGGUUAUAAAGGACAUGCUAAAAAUAUUGUUUUUAUUAUUGAGUUUUUAAGAAUCGACCUUGGCCUGGCCCUGUGUUAAUUAGUACAUAAAUUAAACAAAUUCACUAACUGAGCAGACAUUGAUUAAAUGACUGAAGAGGGCAAGGGGAAAAGUACAUAACUUAUCAUAUAUGUAUACCUCAUAUGUGUAAGUAUGUAUAGGAAAUGGUAUAUACACAAACAAGAGAAGUAGUACAUGAGAAAUGCCUAGAAGAUAAAAGUGCUGAUGGUCAACUCAGAUUUACAAAGGCUUUAUGGAGAAUGUGGAAUUUGAACUGGAUCAAGAAGGACUGGCAGGAUUUCAGUAUAUGGAAGUGUGAAGUUUAAUGUGCAUUAGCAUUUUCUCCGUCUCUUUAUUUCAAUCUAGAUAAUUUUAAAAAAUCAAGCCCUGAUUUUUAACAUUUGCUAAUUUUUGAGGUGUAGAUGCUUGAAAAUUUAACAAUCUGUUCUUGAAGGCUAGCUGGAGCUGGCUUUAGUUCACCCCUGGUGAUAGGGAAUCCUGCAAGAUUAUGGAAACCCUUGAAUGCCAGAAGUCUAUGAGUCUAAACUUUACUUUUUGAUCAAUAGAAAACCAUCAAAGGGUUUUGAACAAAGGAAUAAAAUGUAUAAGGAAGAUUUGUCUGCAUCAAUAUUAAAGGUUUCUUAAAGGAAUGAGAAUGGAGGUGGGAAGCCCUAUUAGGAGACUACUGUAAGAGUUCAGAUAGGGCAGAAUAUAAACUGACUUGGUCACACUAUACUUAUAAUGAAUUCUCACACCAAAAGAAACUCUUGGGUGUUUUUGCUUGUAACUCAAAAUUCAAUACUGUGUAAUAGUAGACACAUAUUUGUUGCUGAAAAAUCUUAUUUUUAUUAGCACAAAAGCUCAUGUAUUCUCUUCAGGUUCUGGUGUGGAUUUUUCUUGGAGGUAAAAAGGACAAUUUAAAACUUUUCUUCCUUCCUUUUUACUUUCAUUCCAGAUUUCCCAAUAUGCUUCAACAUAUUCAACAAGUAUUUGUUAGGCACCUGUACACUUGUUAUGCUGGUGGGCAUAGUUACAGACCCUGGGAUAUAGACAAAAAUCAAAUGGUUUUUCCCUUCAAUGCACUUACAUUCUUUUUAGGAAGGACUGGGAUAACGUAUGUACCUAGAUAUACACAAAAUAAAUACAAAAGACUAGAGCAGUGAUGGCCAACCUUUUAAAGAAUAGUGCUGGGCCCUGCCCUUACCCCCUCACAUGUGUGCUGUGACCCUUCCCCCCACAUAUUGGGUACUCCCUUCUCCCCUUCCACCAUACCCCACACAGGGGAAGGAGGAAGUGCUCCCAUUGGGCUGCUGGGCAGACGGGCAGGGGAAGUGAAGAAUGUCCUCAGCAAGUGUAGUGAGGGGGAGAGGAGUGGCCUGAGCACUCUGCUCCCUUUCAGCUCGGCCAACUGUGAGCCCACCUCAACCCUUGUGUGGUACUUGACCUGAAUCUUGAAUGAAUCCUGAAAGCAGCUAUGGCAAGAUCAAUAAACUUGAGUUGCUACAAUGCUUUCCACAGUCUGGGUUCUAGAAUUCUAUACAUUUGUUAAUAUAUAUGCAGCUAAGUAGCACAGUGAAUAGAGGAUAGGCCUUGAGUCUGGAGGACCUGGGUUCUCCUUUGGCUUCAUAUACUUCCUAGGUGUGUGAUCCUGGCAAGUCGCUUAACCCCAAUUGCCUAGCUCUUGCCAUUCUUCUGUCCCACAGCUGGUACUAGAACAGAAGAGAAGGGGCUUUUUAAAAAAAAUUUUUAAUGGCAACUGCUACCCUUCCUCAUCCUGGGGAAUGUAAUGAGUUGAUUUUAUUUGCUAUAGAAAGUGUACAUGAAUAGACCAUUCACAUAUAGCUAUAGAAAUAAUAUAGGGCCUUUUCUCCCCAUUAGGAUAUUUGUAUAUUGGAAGAUUAUUCUCCCCUCUCUUAUGUAAUGUGAGCUAGCAUUCAUGUUCAGAAACCUAAGGGGGCUAUAAAAAAAAGCAACAAAAUAAGAACAAUCAAAGGUCAGCAUCUUGGCACCUGCCUGAACAUUUACAACUCAAGAUUAUCUGGGAAGAUUCAUGGCUAUUUAGGUUGGCCAGUAUUCUCUAACAUUUCAUUUUUUCAGUGCGUUCACUCUUAAAAUCAGCUGAGAGUCUCCCCUCCUUUUUUUUCUUCAUAAUUGAAACUUUGCAGAUAAAUGUUCCUUUGGACUCAUAUGCCCCCAUUGUAGUCAGCAUCAUAGAUAAAACUCUCUAUAUUUACCUUAGCUAACUUUGAAUAAACCAGAGAAUUCUACUCAUACCUUCUUUUGCCCUCAACCUAAUAACCAAAGCGUUGAUCUAGAAAUGAAGUUAACAAGUAACACUUUGGUGCCCACACAUCAUCAUCCUGGAACCAACUUUGCCUACAAAAGUAAGGACUAUCUCUAACAUGUAUGAAUGUAAAGCUGUUAAGAUCUCUUUGAACAGCUGGGUAAUCUCCUCUAUCUGGAUGCAGCUUUGGAGACCUAUAGGAUCCAUUCCCAUCUUUAGUCAGAAGUAAAGAAAAUCCUUUAAUAAGUCUCUUUGGACAGAUAAAUCUUGUUCAUUGGUUUUCUUUUGUUGUCUCUGGCAUGGCUGAAAGGUUACUUCAUAAUGACUGAUUUGGAGACAUCUGCCACCAGAUUAAGGAAAUGAAAUUGUAGGAGAAACUGAUCAAGCCUCCUGGUUUUUAAAACUCCUCAGACUCGAGAGCUCUUAUUCUACCUGCAAUAAGAAGUGAUUAUAAGGAUUGAAGGAUUCCAAGAAUUAAAGUUUCUUGCACUUUUGAUGCUGGGUUUUCUGCAGAUGUAGACCUCAAAGUUGUCUUAGCCUUAUUUCAUUUUUGGGGGACUUUUCCCAAGUAGCUGCUGGAAGGCAUAGAAGUGGCCACAUCAAUAUCCAGUCCCCGUUUCUUCAGGACCAAAAACUACCCAGAGGAUUCAAAAAGGAGGGCCAAAGAAUAGAAUUUCAUCACAAUGUCUCCAGCACCAUCCAGAGAAAAAAUGAUGAAUACAGAAGAUAGGAACAUUGAAUUGAAGCAAAGUAAGCAGAACGAGGAACAAUAACUAUACUAAUGUAAACAAAAAAAUAUAACUGAAACUGAUUGCUGUGAAAUUAUGACCAAGAUUGACCCUAAAGAAGAGCUAAGAAGACACUCUUCUAUGCAGAAGUUUGAGGAAACAACAGAUAAUUGUUUUAAUUUUUUUGGUGUGGUCACAUUUGUCAAACUUUUUCCUCCUCUCUUAAAAAAUAUAUUAUAAUGUAUGCUUCUUUAAGUGCCAUAUACUGGGAAAUUAUGGGUGACAUAAUAAGAGAAGAUAUUAAUAAAAGUUAUUUUAAAUAACAAAAAAAAGAGGGGAAAAACUAUGGAAGAUAUUGCCAAGAUAGAAUUCACAGAAUUUACCAAGUGAUUAUACGGGGGAUGGCGAAGAGGGAAAUGUUAUAUGACUUCAGAAAAUGGAUGAGGAAUAAUUUAUCCUAUGUCUUGGCAGAGAGGCUAUGGUGAAGAGGUAGAGAAUAAGACAAACAUUUUU